CCUACGGGGGGCAGCAGUCGAGAAUCAUUCACAAUGGGGGAAACCCUGAUGGUGCGACGCCGCGUGGGGGAAUGAAGGUCUUCGGAUUGUAAACCCCUGUCAUGUGGGAGCAAAUUAAAAAGAUAGUACCACAAGAGGAAGAGACGGCUAACUCUGUGCCAGCAGCCGCGGUAAUACAGAGGUCUCAAGCGUUGUUCGGAAUCACUGGGCGUAAAGCGUGCGUAGGCUGUUUCGUAAGUCGUGUGUGAAAGGCGCGGGCUCAACCCGCGGACGGCACAUGAUACUGCGAGACUAGAGUAAGGGAGGGGGAACCGGAAUUCUCGGUGUAGCAGUGAAAUGCGUAGAUAUCGCGAGGAACACUCGUGGCGAAGGCGGGUUCCUGGACAUUAACUGACGCUGAGGCACGAAGGCCAGGGGAGCGAAAGGGAUUAGAUACCCCUGUAGUC
rnacentral:rRNA from 1 species